rnacentral:lncRNA from 1 species
GUAGUUCUAGGCAGCUCAUUCAGUUGAGACUACCGAAUUACGCAGAGAGCAAUCAGUGGGCACAGGGUUACCGAGCCUGCUUUCAGCCCCUUUCUGACCCAGGCUUCCCUCGUUUUCCUGGUGUGGCUGUAGCCCGCUCUGCUGCAGCACGAGUGAGGAGUGUAAGGACUUCUUCCCGGCUUUGCUUAGGGGAAACAACCGUCUGCCCAUUCUCCUGGCUGUAUUCAUCUGCUCUGUCCUGACGUGUGUGGUCAGUCUGAGCAGAGCCCCUUUCCGAGCCAGAGAAGUGCUGCCAAGUGUGACACAGAGGGCGAGGAGGCAGGUGCUGGUACAGUCCUUACCGCUUCCUUCGUAGGAGAAGUCCCAUGCCCAGUUACCUCCGGGUAGGUCCUCCUGCUGCGUCUCUCUCAGCUGUAGCUGCUUUUCUCCCUCAGAUGCAAAGGAUUUGAGAACAGGCAGCAGCAGCUGCCUUUGGUAGCACCAAAGACACUUGGUGACACCUGUGGUGCAGCACCGAGCCGCUUGGUGCUGCUGACAAGGGCGUUGAGAGGUGCUGUGCUUGCCCUCCCGCAGGGAGGGUAGGAGUGGGGAUGUCUGGUUGUGGUGGCCGCUGUCCCCUGUCGUAGCGUGGCUGUGAGCUGUGUGUGUGUCAGGGGAGCGCUUCCCCCAGUACAGGGGCUGCUUGCUCCCGAGCAUACUUGCAGCCACGCCAGCACUUCUACCGAUCUUACUGCCCAUGUACCGAAUGUUUAAAACCCCCAAUAAAGAGGGCAGGAAUGGUCACAGCAGACCUGCCCCUCAAGGGCCCUGAGCACCUGGUGCCUGACGGGCAGCCCAGGUUCAGGUGGGCUCCGGGCCACGGCCAGCACAGCUGAGAUGCGGGACGAGCCCUUGGCUCUCUGCUCUCAGCAGAGCCGGGGGAAGGGAGGUGUGAGCCAGAGGUGGAGGUGUCUGUGGUGCUGCUGGUCUGAGGAGGCCGGUAGGACGUGGGUCGUGGUUCGUCAGAGCAGUACUUUGAGUUGGAAAGCUGGUAUUUUAGUACCUUGCUUGUUUCUCCACCAAGUGACAGAUCUGAUUUCACUCACCUACCUCUUGGCUGAACUUCGGUGUCACCUGUGCCUGCAGGGCCGUGCAGCACUGCAGCCACGUUUCGGAUGAAGCACAGGAAUGAAUGCAGACUUUAGAUUCUCCGGAAUGCUUUAGAAUAGAAACGUGGUGCACAUGCACUGAAAUAAUCAUGAUCUCAUUCCCGAGCUGGAGCCUGUGUCCCUGCCUGGCAGCUUGUGCCCUGGGCAGGGAGUACGGCUGGCACCGAGAGCCUGCGUGGGGACAGUGGAUGUCAGCGCAUUGGCCAAGUGCAAAAACAAAACAGCCAGCAGCAGCCAAAAUCCUCCUGUGCGCCGUGUUCAGAAAGUUCAGAAAAUCAUUGGCUUAAGGAAAUACGAUUUCAGCCUUCAGCGUUCUCUUCUGGCAAUAUGCAUUCCCCGUAAAUAGACAGUUAUUCCUGCCAGGGGUGGAAUUUUUCUCUCUUUGAAGCUGAAAACUCGUUAAAAUCUGAUGUUAAACAAUUAAUGUUCCUAGGGACAAAUUGUUUCGUGUACUAGGACUUUCUCCAGCCAGAGAAAACACAGUAUCCAUGAAAAUUACAGGACUCAUAAUAAACUUCAUACUAACAAAAUGCUCGGCA